UCCCGUGUGGCUCAGUUGGUAGCGCAUGGUGUUUGCAAUGCCAGGGUUGUGGGUUUGAUUCCCAUGCGGGAC
rnacentral:tRNA from 1 species